rnacentral:rRNA from 1 species
AGUUUGAUCCUGGCUCAGGAUGAACGCUGGCGGCGUGCCUAAUACAUGCAAGUCGAACGCUUUGUGGUUCAACUGAUUUGAAGAGCUUGCUCAGAUAUGACGAUGGACAUUGCAAAGAGUGGCGAACGGGUGAGUAACACGUGGGAAACCUACCUCUUAGCAGGGGAUAACAUUUGGAAACAGAUGCUAAUACCGUAUAACAAUAGCAACCGCAUGGUUGCUACUUAAAAGAUGGUUCUGCUAUCACUAAGAGAUGGUCCCGCGGUGCAUUAGCUAGUUGGUAAGGUAAUGGCUUACCAAGGCGAUGAUGCAUAGCCGAGUUGAGAGACUGAUCGGCCACAAUGGGACUGAGACACGGCCCAUACUCCUACGGGAGGCAGCAGUAGGGAAUCUUCCACAAUGGGCGAAAGCCUGAUGGAGCAACGCCGCGUGUGUGAUGAAGGGUUUCGGCUCGUAAAACACUGUUGUAAGAGAAGAAUGACAUUGAGAGUAACUGUUCAAUGUGUGACGGUAUCUUACCAGAAAGGAACGGCUAAAUACGUGCCAGCAGCCGCGGUAA